GGGGGAAGCCAGCUGCAUGUCAUAUGGACAUUCAGGCAACCUAGGGUGUGAAUAAUGUGGCAAGGAAAUAAAAGGCCUGCUAGCAAAUGCUCAGUUGAGCUUGGUAAUGGGUCCUCUCCCAGCAUCUCCAGCCAAGAGCUUGACUGCAACCUCAUAUGAGAUUUUGAGCCAUAACCAUUCAGCUAAACUGCUUCUGGAUACCUGACCAUAGAAACUGUGAGAUUAUAAGAGAAGCAGAUCUUAGGGGGACAAGAGUACAUAUGAAACACAGCAGAGGAGUAGGAUAUGUCUUUGAAUGAAGAUGCCUGAGGGACUGAAUAAAGAACCUGGACAACUAAAGAAAAAAGACACCUAUGGAUCAGAAUUGAGACAAUUUCUUCAGCUACUUAAUUUUUUUUCUUGUAAAAAAAGAACUUCCAGUUUCCCAAGACGCAACAUUGAAUUCAAUCAGAGGUAAAGAUUCUGGACUAUUGGAUUAAAUGAGGAGGCAGGAGCUACUAUCUCUUGCAGUGUGAAACCAGGGCCGGGGAUGAAGAUAUGGACACAUCUCAGCUUUCCAGGGAUGCUGUGAUGUGGUGAAAUUAUGCCAUUCAUUAGAAGGUGAUACUGUCAUCAAUGUGAGAGGCCCAGGACUCUGCAGGGCCUGAAGAAAUCCUGGGCAAUGAGUCUGAGGGAAGUCUCUCAGAGCAGCUACUCUGAGAGAGUAAAGCCGCAGCCUUUGUGGGGUAUGAAAGCAGCGUUCUCAUGGAUAAGGCUUAUUUGAGACGAAGUGGAGGCCUUGUUUUGUCCACUUACCGCAAUGUCCACUGUCCCCAACUGCAGCAUGCCAACAGCAAAUGUGUUUAGUGGAUAUGUGCUUUGUAGCUAACAAGAAACAGUAACAUU
ensembl:lncRNA KCNQ5-AS1 KCNQ5 antisense RNA 1